GUUGAACUGACGGAUAACAUAUUUGCCAAGGAUACACCAGUUAUACCACAAGCAGUACUCGAACAUCUGUCUACACUAAGUGAUAAAUAAUAUGGAACAAAUCCUGUCGAAGACGUGCCUAAUGCCGAUGACAAGAAAAACAUCAGUUGAUUCCCCGUUAGGAAAGUUGUCUAAUAGGUGACACGAGUCACCGAUAGUUCUCUUCCAGCUAUCUAGGUGUUGUAGAAUCUUACGGUUCCACUCUUCUCUUUUGCUAUGUAUUGUACAUAUGAAUCAAGCGUACGAUGCAAUACCUGUCUUCUGCAUCUCUUCUA